rfam:Canis lupus familiaris chromosome 5, whole genome shotgun sequence.
GGAUGUGAGGGUGAUCUGGCUAUGACAUCUGUCACCCCAUUGAUUGCCAGGGUUGAUUCAGCUGAUCUGGCUGGCUAGGCAGGGUGUCCCCUUCUUCCCUUACUGCACCAUGUGCAUCCCUCCCAAAGCUGCAUGCAUGCUUGUUCCAGGAGGAUAAUCUUCCCUGAUAGAGGAGGACCAUUCUUUGAACAAGGGUAUAUGAGUAGCUGUGCUCCCCUGCUAGAAACUCCAGACAAGCUCUCAAGGUCCAUUUGUAGGAGACUAUAGGGUAGUCAAGAUUCCAAGAUUCCAGACAUCCAAAUGAGGCACUGCAUGUGGCAGUCUGCCUUUCUUU